AUAGUCCAAGAAAAUAAAUAAAGCUUAACUAGAAAAUAAAAUAAAUAAAUAACCGAUGUCCGCAUCAACUCUCUCGAGGUGGGAGAAAACUCGACCCUGUCGAGUGGAUAUAUCACUAUAGGCUGUUGUCAAUCUUCCAACCAUAAGUUGAGUGGUUGGGCAAGCUUCUUCCGGCGUCUGUUGAAAUGUGUCAGUGGAAGUUUGAACCUGGUGUCCUCACCAACUCCCCUCGGGUGAACGGAGGCAAUCUGGGCCAAGGAAGGUCCUGCUGACUUUCGAUAAAGUUUCAAUAAAUCUGGAUCUAAUUGCUGUAGUG
rnacentral:lncRNA from 1 species